UACGUAGGGUGCGAGCGUUAAUCGGAAUUACUGGGCGUAAAGCGUGCGUAGACGGUUGCGUAAGUCAGAUGUGAAAUCCCCGGGCUUAACCUGGGAACUGCGCUUGUAACUAGCGGGCUAGAGUGCGGCAGAGGGGGGUGGAAUUCCACGUGUAGCAGUGAAAUGCGUAGAUAUGUGGAGGAACACCGAUGGCGAAGGCAGCCCCCUGGGUCGACACUGACGCUCAUGCACAAAAGCGUGGGGAGCAAACAGG
rnacentral:rRNA from 1 species